rnacentral:rRNA from 1 species
GACGAACGCUGGCGGCGUGCUUAACACAUGCAAGUCGAACGGAAAGGCCCUGCUUUUGUGGGGUGCUCGAGUGGCGAACGGGUGAGUAACACGUGCGUAACCUGCCCUUGACUUUGGGAUAACUUCAGGAAACUGGGGCUAAUACCGGAUAGGAGCUCCUGCUGCAUGGUGGGGGUUGGAAAGUUUCGGCGGUUGGGGAUGGACUCGCGGCUUAUCAGCGUGUUGGUGGGGUAGUGGCUUACCAAGGCUUUGACGGGUAGCCGGCCUGAGAGGGUGACCGGCCACAUUGGGACUGAGAUACGGCCCAGACUCCUACGGGAGGCAGCAGUGGGGAAUAUUGCACAAUGGGCGGAAGCCUGAUGCAGCAACGCCGCGUGCGGGAUGACGGCCUUCGGGUUGUAAACCGCUUUCGCCUGUGACGAAGCGUGAGUGACGGUAAUGGGUAAAGAAGCACCGGCUAACUACGUG